GGACAGAUGGCGGAGUGGUUAACGCGUGAGCUAUGCUGAAAUUUUCACCCGAAUUCCUGCUGACGACCAUACAUAGGCUGCCCUGCUAAGGCAGUUCCUUCGGGAGCAAGUGUUCGAAUCACUUUCUGUUCG
rnacentral:tRNA from 1 species